GUUUGAUCCUGGCUCAGAUUGAACGCUGGCGGCAUGCCUUACACAUGCAAGUCGAACGGCAGCACGGGUGCUUGCACCUGGGGGCGAGUGGCGAACGGGUGAGUAAUACAUCGGAACAUGUCCUGUAGUGGGGGAUAGCCCGGCGAAAGCCGGAUUAAUACCGCAUACGAUCUACGGAUGAAAGCGGGGGACCUUCGGGCCUCGCGCUAUAGGGUUGGCCGAUGGCUGAUUAGCUAGUUGGUGGGGUAAAGGCCUACCAAGGCGACGAUCAGUAGCUGGUCUGAGAGGACGACCAGCCACACUGGGACUGAGACACGGCCCAGACUCCUACGGGAGGCAGCAGUGGGGAAUUUUGGACAAUGGGCGAAAGCCUGAUCCAGCAAUGCCGCGUGUGUGAAGAAGGCCUUCGGGUUGUAAAGCACUUUUGUCCGGAAAGAAAUCCUUGGUUCUAAUAUAGCCGGGGGAUGACGGUACCGGAAGAAUAAGCACCGGCUAACUACGUGCCAGCAGCCGCGGUAAUACGUAGGGUGCGAGCGUUAAUCGGAAUUACUGGGCGUAAAGCGUGCGCAGGCGGUUUACUAAGACCGAUGUGAAAUCCCCGGGCUCAACCUGGGAACUGCAUUGGUGACUGGCAGGCUAGAGUAUGGCAGAGGGGGGUAGAAUUCCACGUGUAGCAGUGAAAUGCGUAGAGAUGUGGAGGAAUACCGAUGGCGAAGGCAG
rnacentral:rRNA from 1 species